rnacentral:tRNA from 1 species
UCCCUGGUGGUCUAGUAGUUAGGACUCGUUGCUUUCACUGACACGGCCUGAGUUCAAUUCCCGGUCAGGGAA